CUUCUCUAUGUACUGUUGUGCUCGUACAGAUUGUACUUCACGUCGGUGAGGGAAAGAAAAAUGCGGGCCAAACUUUUGUUAUCACUUGCCACUCGCCAGGCUCUCUUCCUCCCCAAACCCGGCCUCUCCUUUCCCGUCCCGCUCUUCCUUCCGCCGGCGGCGGCAACAGAGGUACUUGUGGCGAGCAGGCAGCCGCCUCGUUUCCUCGAGGCGCCUGUCGGCCAUCUCUGGGAGCAAGGGUGUCUAGCAUCUACAUCUGGACAGACGGGCAGCAAGCUCCCACCUUGGGGCGGACGGGCGGAGAGAUGGGGCGGGAACCUGGAGCCAUGGAUGACGGCAGUCUUGUCGAGGCUGACGCAUCGGGAGGUCGGCUACAGGACGUACAGCACCAAGCGGCAGCAAUUUGGUUUGGGAUUUUGGGAAAGGAAGUGCUCUGCACCUUGGUGAAUUAACGGCACGAGAGCUCGUACUGCUCAUAACAUACAGUUUGGCUUGGAUGGAGCCAUGCUUCUGAGAACCCAGAACUUCCAGAUGUGUUGAAUGAACAUGAUUUUUUUUUCUUCGGCCACAAUCAGCCACGAUGGUCUCACACUCUCACUAAGCCAUACGACUGAUUCUUCUAUUAUUGUGCAAGGAGCGGGAGUACCAACUCUUCCAUGGAAUGGAUCACAUUUUCACAGAUUCUCCAAAUGGACGUGCAAGGCAACCGAGAUGAGAAGAGACCUGCUGAUUUGCGCUUGCGGGAGCAUGUCUGUGGCUUGACUAUGAUGUCUGCAUUAUGGGGAUUUCCGGGUUUCCUCUUCAUGUGUUAUUCAAAAGUUGAGUUGAGUGCAGUGUACCAUUGAAUUGCUGCUAUGUGUUUACCAGUAUAAUGUUGUAGUAGCUAAAUGAAUUUUACUUGGUGCGAUGUGUUUACCAACUCAUGGUAUGCUCGGUAUUUACAGGGACUUCAUGGUAGAUUUGGUCAAAAGACAAGCAAGGCAAUUGAGCUGCGGAGAGACCUGCUGAUUUGGACUUGGCGGGAUCGUGUCUCGGAUGGCUUGACUAUGAUCUCCGUGUUAUAGGGAUAUCUGAAUUUCCGAUUCAUGUCUUAUUCAAAGUCUAGCUGACCAAAGUCUACCAUUGUACUGGUUCGUACGUGUUUACCAAAUCUGCAGUGUUAGAAAUAAGCACUCCGGCUCCGGCACGACACCAAGCAAUCACGUGUACGAGAAGAAUUGCUAGGAUACGUAUUUGUAUAGGAGUGGAUCUAGUCACGACUCGUACUGCUAGUUCGAGUAGGAUAGCAAGUCCUGGCAUAUAUAAGUGCGUGUAUACCUAGCUUUGUAAACUACACCGUGAGUUGAAGCAAUAGAAACUACAGGUGCGACACGCACCUGUUGCAAUCCAA